AUGACCAGUGACUUUCCUUCCGUUACUGCAGAGUCCUUCCUUCAAGAGCUUAAAAGCUCACUGUUUGAGGAAAUACAUGAGGAUGAAACGGUACUUCAAGCCUCAACAGACUGGUCGACCCGAAAGAGCCUCAUAUCAGGGUGGUGGGAGAAAGAGAGACCCCGACUGGUCAACACCAUGGUGGCUGGACAACAUGCGGCAACUCGGAUCUGCCAACAUUGUGGAAAUGGUCCAGCCGUAAUCCGUUGUUGUGACUGCCGACCACACCCAUUCCUCUGUGGCCAGUGUGAUGUCAGGGUCCACCGAGGUCAAGUGUUCCACAACAGGGAUUCGAUGACACAUGCAUUCUUUCAUCCAUUGCCUCCCACAACUUGUGUUGUGGAGAGGGUUCUAACCCAGUGUGGUAAGUUGUAGUUUUUAAAAGUCACAUUCUUAGACUUGACUGAAAAACUGAUAGGUCGAUGAAGCAGUCAAGUACAUCUU
ensembl:lncRNA